UUGAACGCUGGCGGCAUGCUUUACACCUGCAAGUCGAACGGUAACAGGCCUUCGGGUGCUGACGAGUGGCGAACGGGUGAGUAAUGCAUCGGAACGUACCCAGAGGUGGGGGAUAACGCAGCGAAAGCUGUGCUAAUACCGCAUGUGAUCUGAGGAUGAAAGCGGGGGACCGAGCAGCAAUGUUUGGCCUCGCGCCUUUGGAGCGGCCGAUGUCGGAUUAGCUAGUUGGUGGGGUAAAGGCCUACCAAGGCGACGAUCCGUAGCUGGUCUGAGAGGACGACCAGCCACACCGGGACUGAGACACGGCCCAGACUCCUACGGGAGGCAGCAGUGGGGAAUUUUGGACAAAGGGCGCAAGCCUGAUCCAGCAAUGCCGCGUGCGGGAAGAAGGCCUUCGGGUUGUAAACCGCUUUUGGCAGGAACGAAACGGUGUCCGCUAAUACCGGGCGCUAAUGACGGUACCUGCAGAAUAAGCACCGGCUAACUACGUG
rnacentral:rRNA from 1 species